rnacentral:lncRNA from 1 species
GUGUUUAAAAGUAUAAUUUAAUGGUUAUUUUCAUUUAAUGAUUGAAAAUUUGAAAUAAUGACUGACACCAGUUUGAUUAAAAUAAUAUAAAAUACAAAUGUAACUCGUACUGAAUUGACGUUAAUAAUGUAGUUUUUUAAGCUGUAAAAACGAGAGGAGUUGUAAUUUUUACUUAUAAAAAAUAUUAUCAACAAUCAGUUAAAAUUUAUGAUGAUUUUAAGCAUUGAUCCACGGUGGACC